GAUACUUGGUGUGAAUUGCAGAAUCCCGUGAACCAUCGAGUCUUUGAACGCAAGUUGCGCCCGAAGCCAUUAGGCCGAGGGCACGCCUGCCUGGGCGUCACGCAUCGCGUCGUCCCCCACCCCCGCGCGUGUCGCCGGGCGGUUGGGGGCGGAAAAUGGCCUCCC
rnacentral:rRNA from 1 species